GACGAACGCUGGCGGCGUGCUUAACACAUGCAAGUCGAACGAAAAGAGGGAAAGAGCUUGCUCUUUCCGGAAUUGAGUGGCAAACGGGUGAGUAACACGUAAACAACCUGCCUUCAGGAUGGGGACGACAGACGGAAACGACUGCUAAUACCGAAUAAGUUCCAAGAGCCGCAUGGCCCAUGGAAGAAAAGGUGGCCUCUACCUGUAAGCUAUCGCCUGAAGAGGGGUUUGCGUCUGAUUAGCUGGUUGGAGGGGUAACGGCCCGCCAAGGCGACGAUCAGUAGCCGGUCUGAGAGGAUGAACGGCCACACUGGAACUGAGACACGGUCCAGACUCCUACGGGAGGCAGCAGUGGGGAAUCUUCCGCAAUGGGCGAAAGCCUGACGGAGCAACGCCGCGUGAGUGAUGACGGCCUUCGGGUUGUAAAACUCUGUGAUCCGGGACGAAAAGGCAGAGUGCGAAGAACAAACUGCAUUGACGGUACCGGAAAAGCAAGCCACGGCUAACUACGUG
rnacentral:rRNA from 1 species